UUUACUCUACAUUUUGCACUGUAUACUACCGUGACACCCAACUAACGGCCGCGGGUAAAUCGAAUUCCAUGGAAACACUCGUAGCUGAUCACACCCCGGGUCUGCAUUUUCUUACCAGGCGGCCUAUAAAAUUCUGUCACCGAUGAAUAUGGCGAUUUUUUGCUCCUAAUUCUAGGUUUGUUUUUUCUUUUUUUAACAAAUCCAUUAUCGUUUCGUUAUCAGAUCUCAUUCCUCCAUGGCCAAUUACCUAGCUCAGUUUCAGACGAUCAAGAGCUCGUCAAACUGCCUGGUCGUAGCAGUUGAAGAUGUUACUGUCAAGGAUGGAUUUGAGGCAUGAUUGCCAUUCAAAAAAGCUUGUCUCAAUAACAAGACUCGGAAUCCUGUAUAUGUUGAAAAUCUACCUGUUGAGUUCAUAUUGACAACUGAUGCUCGCCUCCGCAGUCGCUUUCCACAGGAACAAUAUUUGUUUUGGUUCCGUGAACCCUAUGCAACUGCAGUUCUUGUCACUUGUGAGAUGUGUUUCAAUUCUAGGAGGAGGAGAUUUGCAAGCUCAGUGAACAACCUUUCAUGCCAGUGUGGAGUUUUUGUAACUUCUUUAUUUUGAAGGAGAGCUUAGCUUUCAUGUUUGAGAUGGCUCAUCUCCAUCUCCUUGCGAGAAUAUGAUGAACUAGAACUUUGAUAUCUAGAAACAGUGCAGUUCAUGAGGCUUGCAUACCUAAUAGGAUAUGGAAUGGACAUUGAGAAAAGUCCUACCAAUAGUGCUGCUUUGAGCAUGCUUUCAUGGGCAAGACCAGUAGUCUGGCCUUCAGUUCCUCCUGAUGCUUUAACAGGGGUGGUUGCAAAAGAAAAG